rnacentral:lncRNA from 12 species
GGUUUAAAGGCAGGAUCUUGGCUCUGCAUCCAUGUUCCCAAAUUAAUUUGGGGGAGGAGAAAAAGGGUCAAGGCAAUAAAAUCACAUUAAUGGUAAUUUUUUCAUCUUCAUCCAUCCAAGCCUUUGAUUUUUUUUUUUUUUCCUCAUGCCCCGAGAGUCGGCAAUAAAAUCACAUUAAUGGUAAUUUUUUCAUCUUCAUCCAUCCAAGCCUUUGAUUUUUUUUUUUUUUUUCCCUCAUGCCCCGAGAGUCACAGGAGGUCAGAAAAUAUUUCAGUUAAUGAGAUUAAAGCAGCCCCAACUCAUUCCUGCUCCUUCCCUUUGCCAAAAUCUUAAAUCCAAAUCCUAAAGUGAGAUCUGGAAAAGGCUCCACGUGACUGAAACAAUCCAGGUGGGAACUCGAUCAAGUUCAUAUCAAAGUCAAAAAUCAAACUGGAUUUAGAGAAAAGUGGCUGUGCUGGUGGAACUGGGGACGUGCAGGGGCUGAGGGGAAGAGAAUUUAAUGAAAUGUUUUAAUGAGACACAGAAAACGGGGAACGCUGCGAGGGAAUCAUCCCAACGUUCUUGGGGUGUUUGGGUCGGAGUUUUGGGAUAUUUGGGUUGGAGUUUUGGGAUAUUCGGGUUGGAUACUUGGGUCAGAUUUUUGGGUUGGAUUUUUGGGAUACUUGGGUCGGAUUUCUGGGAUAUUUGGGCUGGAUUUUGGGAUAAUUGGGUUGGAUUUUUCGGAUAUUUGGGUUGGAUUUUUGGGAUAUUUGGGUUGGAUUUCUGGGUUGGAUAUUUGGGUUAUUUGGGUUGGAUGUUUGGGAUAUUUGGAUUGGAUUUUUGGGAUGUUUGGGUUGGAUUUCUGGAUAUUUGGGUCAGAUAUUUGGGUUGGAUUUUUGGGAUAUUUGAGUUAGAUUUUGGGAUAUUUGGGUUGAACUUUUGGAUAUUUGAGGUUUUUGGGUUGGACAUUUGGGAUUUUUGGGAUAUUUGGGUUGGAUAUUUGGGUCGGAUUUUUGGGAUAUUUGGGUUGGAUUUUUGGGAUAUUUGAGUUGGAUUUUUGGGUUGGAGUUUUGGGAUAUCUGGGUUGGAUUUUUGGAUAUUUGGGGUUUUUGGGUUGGAUUUUUGGGUUGGAUAUUUGGGUUAUUUGGGUUGGAUUUUUGGGGCAUGUGGGUUGGACAUUUGGGAUUUUUGGGUCGGUUAUUUGGGAUAUUUGGGUCGGAUUUUUGGGAUAUUUGGGUCAGUUAUUUGGGAUAUUUGGGUCGGAUUUCUGGGAUAAUUGGGUUGUAUUUCUGGGAUAAUUGGGUUGGAUAUUUGGUAUAUUUGAGUUGGAUUUUUGGUAUAUUUGAGUUGGAUUUUUGGGAUAUUUGAGUUGGAUUUUUGGGAUAUUUGAGAUGGAUUUUUGGGAUAAUCCCUUCACGGAAAGGCUUUCCACAGCUACCGCUGAACUCGUGAAAUCCCAACCUCCAAAACACCAAAAAAAAUUCUCAAAAAAAACCCCAGAACCUCCCCAAACCAAAGCUGUUCCUGCAGGAUUUCCCCAGGGCCCCAGUUCAGGGUGACCCCAAACCUGGGUGGGAUUUCCUGCCCUGCCCACGGUGCCCGUGUGUGCUCAGGGAUUAUUCUGUUUAUUUAAAGCAUUUCAAACAGGAGCUUUUCUCACACAGCUCAAACCCUUCCCCCCGCCCCUGAUUUAUCCUGCCUCAAUUUGGCUGCUGUGGAAGGUAAAUUAUCCCUUUCCUAAAUUUUUCCAGCAAAAAAUUUUCUUUUUUUUUUUUUUUUUUUUUCCAGCAACACCCUCACACCACAACAACUCCCCUUGAGAGUCUUUAAAGGGUUCAGUAAUUCUCCUAUAGAUAAACAACUCUGGAAAACCAACAAUUUUCUUUUUUCUGUGUUUUCCUCAUUCCAAAACAAAAUUUUUGCUGCAUCAGAGAACCAUGGAAUGGUUUGGGUGGGAAAGGAUCUUAAAAUUGGAUUUUUUUUUUUUUUUUUUCCACCAGGGUGCUCCAAGCUGACCUGGGACACUUCCAGGGAUGGAAAAUCCAUGAUUUGUCUGGGGAAAAAAAAAAUAAAAAAAAAUUCUGGGAAUGCAAGGAGGAGAAAAGAACAGCUGAAAACCACCCAGAGCUUCACAUGGGAUGGAUUUAGAGAGAAUCACCCUAAAAGGAUGGAUUAAAAAAACAAAAAAUGAACUCAAAGUCCUCACUGACCUUUCUGUCUCACCCCCACCUUGACUCCCCACAGUCAAAGAUUUUGGAUUUUGAUGCUUUCAGGGCAAAAAGAAAGAGAAAAGGGUAAAAUUCCAUUAAAAAUCUGAAUUUCUGCCGAAUUAACCUGAGGUUUGUGUUGUAUUUUUGAUGAAUUUCAGUGUUUAACUCUGCUCGCAGGGAAUCAUCCCAACGUUCUUGGGGUGUUUGGGUCGGAGUUUUGGGAUAUUUGGGUUGGAGUUUUGGGAUAUUCGGGUUGGAUACUUGGGUCAGAUUUUUGGGUUGGAUUUUUGGGAUACUUGGGUCGGAUUUCUGGGAUAUUUGGGCUGGAUUUUGGGAUAAUUGGGUUGGAUUUUUC